rnacentral:rRNA from 1 species
UGUAAGCGUAUACCAAAGUUGUUGCAGUUAAAACGCUCGUAGUCGGAAUUUGGCAGUUCCGGAUGUGUGCACGUCGUGUGCGCACUUCGCGGGGAUUGCUUUUGUGGUCUUGCGUAGGAUGAGGCACUUUUAUUAGUGAACGUCCUCACGCAACCACUUUUUACUGUGAGAAAAUCAGAGUGCUCAAAGCAGGCAUUUGCCGUGAAUGUAUUAGCAUGGAAUAAUAGAAUAGGACUUGGUUCUAUUUUGUUGGUUUGUUGGGACUGAGUAAUGAUUAAGAGGGACAGCUGGGGGCACUUGUAUUUCGGUGCUAGAGGUGAAAUUCUUAGAUUACCGAAAGACAAACUGCUGCGAAAGCGUCUGCCAAGGAUGUUUUCAUUGA